AUUGAACGCUGGCGGCAGGCUUAACACAUGCAAGUCGAGCGAGCGGCGGACGGGUGAGUAAUGUCUGGGAAACUGCCUGAUGGAGGGGGAUAACUACUGGAAACGGUAGCUAAUACCGCAUACCAUCAGAUGUGCCCAGAGGGGAUUAGCUAGUAGGUUGGGUAAUGGCUCACCUCGGCGACGAUCCCUAGCGGGUCUGAGAGGAUGAACAGCCACACUGGAACUGAGACACGGUCCAGACUCCUACGGGAGGCAGCAGUAGGGAAUCUGCCGCAAUGGGCGCAAGCCUGAUGCAGCCAUGCCGCGUGUGUGAAGAAGGCCUUCGGGUUGUAAAGCACUUUCAGCGAGGAGGCGUUACUCGCAGAAGAAGCACCGGCUAACUCCGUGCCAGCAGCCGCGGUAAUUC
rnacentral:rRNA from 1 species